rnacentral:rRNA from 1 species
UACGUAGGGUGCGAGCGUUGUCCGGAAUUAUUGGGCGUAAAGGGCUCGUAGGCGGUUUGGCGCGUCGGGAGUGAAAACACUGGGCUUAACUCAGUGCUUGCUUCCGAUACGGGCAGACUAGAGGUAUGCAGGGGAGAACGGAAUUCCUGGUGUAGCGGUGAAAUGCGCAGAUAUCAGGAGGAACACCGGUGGCGAAGGCGGUUCUCUGGGCAUUACCUGACGCUGAGGAGCGAAAGUGUGGGGAGCGAACAGG